AAGUAUUUAGAAACGGAGGUAGUA
rnacentral:miRNA from 1 species